CAGUCGCCACGGGAAAACGAGGGGGGCAGGCGUUGUUCGGAUUUAUUGGGCGUAAAGGGUGCGUAGGCGGUUUGGCAAGUCUUGUGUGAAAUCUUCGGGCUCAACCCGAAGCCUGCACGAGAAACUACCGGGCUUGAGUAUUGGAGAGGUGAGUGGAAUCUCCGGUGUAGCGGUGAAAUGCGUAGAUAUCGGAAGGAACACCUGUGGCGAAAGCGGCUCACUGGACAAUAACUGACGCUGAGGCACGAAAGCUAGGGGAGCAAACAGGAUUAGAUACCCCCGUAGUCCCUGUCUCUUAUAC
rnacentral:rRNA from 1 species